rnacentral:rRNA from 1 species
UACGGAGGGUGCAAGCGUUAUCCGGAUUUAUUGGGUUUAAAGGGUCCGUAGGCGGAUGUGUAAGUCAGUGGUGAAAUCUCGCAGCUUAACUGCGAAACUGCCAUUGAUACUGCAUGUCUUGAGUAAAUUUGAAGUGGCUGGAAUAAGUAGUGUAGCGGUGAAAUGCAUAGAUAUUACUUAGAACACCAAUUGCGAAGGCAGGUCACUAAGAUUUAACUGACGCUGAUGGACGAAAGCGUGGGGAGCGAACAGG